UACGGAGGAUGCGAGCGUUAUCCGGAUUUAUUGGGUUUAAAGGGUGCGUAGGCGGGUUAUCAAGUCAGCGGUAAAAUCGUGGAGCUCAACUCCAUCCAGCCGUUGAAACUGAUGAUCCUGAGUGGGCGAGAAGUAUGCGGAAUGCGUGGUGUAGCGGUGAAAUGCAUAGAUAUCACGCAGAACUCCGAUUGCGAAGGCAGCAUACCGGCGCCCGACUGACGCUGAAGCACGAAAGCGUGGGUAUCGAACAGG
rnacentral:rRNA from 1 species